GAUGAACGCUAGCUGGAGGCUUAAUACAUGCAAGUCGAGCGGGAUUGGGUAGCAAUACCCAUGAGAGCGGCGCACGGGUGAGUAACGCGUACACGACCUACCUCUAACAGGGGGAUAGCCCUGGGAAACUGGGAUUAAUACCGCAUAUUAUUCUGAAUAAUAAAGGUUUGGAAUGAAAGCUGAGGCGGUUAGAGAUGGGUGUGCGUCCGAUUAGCUAGUUGGUAGGGUAACGGCCUACCAAGGCGAUGAUCAGUAGGGGGCGUGAGAGCGUGGUCCCCCACACGGGUACUGAGACACGGACCCGACUCCUACGGGAGGCAGCAGUAAGGAAUAUUGGUCAAUGGGCGAAAGCCUGAACCAGCCAUCCAGCGUGCAGGAAGAAGGCCCUAUGGGUUGUAAACUGCUUUUAUCAGGGAAGAAACCUCUGGAUUUACUCCGGAGCUGACGGUACCUGAAGAAUAAGCACCGGCUAACUCCGUGCCAGCCGCCGCCGUAAAAC
rnacentral:rRNA from 1 species